rnacentral:rRNA from 1 species
CCUACGGGUGGCUGCAGUGGGGAAUAUUGCACAAUGGGGGAAACCCUGAUGCAGCGACGCCGCGUGAGUGAAGAAGUAUUUCGGUAUGUAAAGCUCUAUCUGCAGGGAAGAAAAAAGACGGUACCGGACCAAGAAGCGCCGGCUAACUACGUGCCAGCAGCCUCGGUAAGACGUAGGGGGCAAGCGUUAUCCGGAUGUCCUGGGUGUAAAGGGAGCGUAGACGGCGCGGUAAGUCUGAAGUGAAAUGCAGGGGCUUAACCCCCGAACUGCGUUGGAAACUGCCAUGCUAGAGUUCUGGAGAGGUAAGUGGAAUUCCUGGUGUAGCGGUGAAAUGCGUAGAUAUUAGGAGGAACACCAGUGGCGAAGGCAGCUUACUGGACCGUAACUGACGUUGAGGCUCGAAAGCGUGGGGAGCAAACAGGAUUAGAUACCCCAGUAGUC